rnacentral:rRNA from 1 species
CGGAACGUACCUUUCAGUGGGGGAUAACGUAGCGAAAGUUACGCUAAUACCGCAUAUUCUGUGAGCAGGAAAGCAGGGGAUCUUAGGACCUUGCGCUGAUUGAGCGGCCGAUAUCAGAUUAGCUAGUUGGUGAGGUAAAGGCUCACCAAGGCGACGAUCUGUAGCGGGUCUGAGAGGAUGAUCCGCCACACUGGAACUGAGACACGGUCCAGACUCCUACGGGAGGCAGCAGUGGGGAAUUUUGGACAAUGGGGGCAACCCUGAUCCAGCCAUGCCGCGUGAGUGAAGAAGGCCUUCGGGUUGUAAAGCUCUUUCAGCCGGGAAGAAAACGCAUGGGUUAAUACCCUGUGUGGAUGACGGUACCGGAAUAAGAAGCACCGGCUAACUACGUGCCAGCAGCCGCGGUAAUACGUAGGGUGCGAGCGUUAAUCGGAAUUACUGGGCGUAAAGCGUGCGCAGGCGGUUUUGUAAGACAGGCGUGAAAUCCCCGGGCUCAACCUGGGAACUGCGUUUGUGACUGCAAGGCUAGAGUAUGGCAGAGGGGGGUGGAAUUCCACGUGUAGCAGUGAAAUGCGUAGAGAUGUGGAGGAACACCGAUGGCGAUGCAGCCCCCUGGGCCAAUACUGACGCUCAUGCACGAAAGCGUGGGUAGCAAACAGGAUUAGAUACCCUGGUAGUCCACGCCCUAAACGAUGUCAACUAGGUGUUGGGUGGGUAAAACCAUUUAGUACCGGAGCUAACGCGUGAAGUUGACCGCCUGGGGAGUACGGCCGCAAGGUUAAAACUCAAAGGAAUUGACGGGGACCCGCACAAGCGGUGGAUGAUGUGGAUUAAUUCGAUGCAACGCGAAAAACCUUACCUACCCUUGACAUGUCCAGAAGCCCUUAGAGAUUUGGGUGUGCCCGAAAGGGAGCUGGAACACAGCUGCUGCAUGGCUGUCGUCAGCUCGUGUCGUGAGAUGUUGGGUUAAGUCCCGCAACGAGCGCAACCCUUGUCGUUAAUUGCCAUCAUUUAGUUGGGCACUUUAACGAGACUGCCGGUGACAAACCGGAGGAAGGUGGGGAUGACGUCAAGUCCUCAUGGCCCUUAUGGGUAGGGCUUCACACGUCAUACAAUGGUCGGUACAAAGGGUCGCCAACCCGCGAGGGGGAGCCAAUCCCAGAAAGCCGAUCGUAGUCCGGAUCGUAGGCUGCAACUCGCCUGCGUGAAGUCGGAAUCGCUAGUAAUCGUGGAUCAGCAUGUCACGGUGAAUACGUUCCCGGGUCUUGUACACACCGCCCGUCACACCAUGGGAGCGGGUUCCGCCAGAAGUAGGUAGCCUAACCGCAAGGGGGGCGCUUACCACGGCGGGGUUCGUGACUGGGGUGAAGUCGUAACAAGGUA